rnacentral:rRNA from 1 species
UACGGAGGGUGCUAGCGUUGUUCGGAUUUACUGGGCGUAAAGGGUGCGUAGGCGGCUUUAUAAGUCAGCGGUGAAAGUCUGCAGCUUAACUGUAGAACUGCCUUUGAUACUGUAAAGCUUGAGUACUGAUGAGGUAGGCGGAAUUGAUAGUGUAGCGGUGAAAUGCAUAGAUAUUAUCAAGAACACCGAUUGCGAAGGCAGCUUACUAAGGAGUUACUGACGCUGAGGCACGAAAGCGUGGGGAUCAAACAGG